UAGGGAAUAUUGCACAAUGGGCGAAAGCCUGAUGCAGCAACGCCGCGUGCGCGAUGACGGCCUUCGGGUUGUAAGGCGCUUUUCGGGGAGAUGAGGAAGGACAGUAUCCCCGGAAUAAGGCUCGGCUAACUACGUGCCAGCAGCCGCGGUAACACGUAGGAGCCAAGCGUUAUCCGAAUUCACUGGGCGUAAAGCGCGUGUAGGCGGCUUGGUAAGUUGGAUGUGAAAGCUCCUGGCUCAACUGGGAGAGGACGUUCAAUACUGCCGGGCUAGAGGGCGACAGUGGGAGGUGGAAUUCCCGGUGUAGUGGUGAAAUGCGUAGAUAUCGGGAGGAACACCAGUGGCGAAAGCGGCCUCCUGGGUCGCACCUGACGCUCAGACGCGAAAGCUAGGGG
rnacentral:rRNA from 1 species